AGUGAACGCUGGCGGUAGGCCUAACACAUGCAAGUCGAACGGCAGCACAGAGGAGCUUGCUCCUUGGGUGGCGAGUGGCGGACGGGUGAGGAAUACAUCGGAAUCUACUCCGUCGUGGGGGAUAACGUAGGGAAACUUACGCUAAUACCGCAUACGACCUACGGGUGAAAGCAGGGGAUCUUCGGACCUUGCGCGAUUGAAUGAGCCGAUGUCGGAUUAGCUAGUUGGCGGGGUAAAGGCCCACCAAGGCGACGAUCCGUAGCUGGUCUGAGAGGAUGAUCAGCCACACUGGAACUGAGACACGGUCCAGACUCCUACGGGAGGCAGCAGUGGGGAAUAUUGGACAAUGGGCGCAAGCCUGAUCCAGCCAUACCGCGUGGGUGAAGAAGGCCUUCGGGUUGUAAAGCCCUUUUGUUGGGAAAGAAAUCCAUCUGGUUAAUACCCGGGUGAGAUGACGGUACCCAAAGAAUAAGCACCGGCUAACUUCGUGCCAGCCGCCGCGGUAA
rnacentral:rRNA from 1 species